ensembl:miRNA
GAGGUGGGAGGAUCACUUGAACCCAGGAGGUUGAGGCUGCAGUGAGCUGUGAUCAUGCCACUGCACUCCAGCCUGAGUGACAGAGUGGGACCUUGUCUC